UGUAAGCGUAUACCAAAGUUGUUGCAGUUAAAACGCUCGUAGUCGGACUUUGGCAGUUCCGGAUGUGUGCACGUCGUGUGCGCACUUCGCGGGGAUUGCUUUUGUGGUCUUGCGUAGGAUGAGGCACUUUUAUUAGUGAACGUCCUCACGCAACCACUUUUUACUGUGAGAAAAUCAGAGUGCUCAAAGCAGGCAUUUGCCGUGAAUGUAUUAGCAUGGAAUAAUAGAAUAGGACUUGGUUCUAUUUUGUUGGUUUGUUGGGACUGAGUAAUGAUUAAGAGGGACAGUUGGGGGCAUUUGUAUUUCGGUGCCAGAGGUGAAAUUCUUAGAUUACCGAAAGACAAACUGCUGCGAAAGCGUCUGCCAAGGAUGUUUUCAUUGA
rnacentral:rRNA from 1 species